CUAGUCUUCGCCCGUCGCUGCCUAUUCAGCGACCGGGUCUGCAAGCCCGAACA
rnacentral:ncRNA from 1 species